rnacentral:rRNA from 2 species
CCGUUCCCAUGCCGAACACGGAAGUUAAGCGCUUCAGCGCCGAAAGUAGUUGGGGGUCUCCCCCUGUGAGGAUAGGACGUUGCCAGGC